GCAGUCGCCACGGUAAUACGUAGGUGGCAAGCGUUGUCCGGAUUUAUUGGGCGUAAAGCGAGCGCAGGCGGUCAGUUAAGUCUGAUGUGAAGGCCCCCGGCUCAACCGGGGAGGGUCAUUGGAAACUGGUUGACUUGAGUGCAGAAGAGGAGAGUGGAAUUCCAUGUGUAGCGGUGAAAUGCGUAGAUAUAUGGAGGAACACCAGUGGCGAAGGCGACUCUCUGGUCUGUAACUGACGCUGAGGCUCGAAAGCGUGGGUAGCAAACAGGAUUAGAUACCCCCGUAGUCCCUGUCUCUUAUAC
rnacentral:rRNA from 1 species